rnacentral:rRNA from 1 species
AGGAUGAACGCUGGCGGCGUGCCUAACACAUGCAAGUCGAACAUCCUGUCUCGCAAGAGGCAGGGAGUGGCGGACGGGUGAGUACCACGUGGGUCAUCUACCGUGAGGUGAGGAAUACCGGCGAGAAAUCGCCGACAAGACCGCAUAGGCUCGAUGCAAGUCGAGCAAAGCUCUUUCGAGAGAGGGAGCGCCACACGAGGAGCCUGCGCCCGAUUAGCUAGCUGGUGGAGUAACGGUUCACCAGGGCGACGAUCGGUAGCUGGUCUGAGAGGACGAUCAGCCACACUGGGAUUGAGAACGGCCCAGACUCCUACGGGGGGCAGCAGUGAGGAAUUUUCGUCAAUGGGGGCAACCCUGAACGAGCAACGCCGCGUGCAGGAAGAAGGUUUUCGGAUCGUAAACUGCUUUUCUCGGGGAAGAGAAUGGACGGUACCCGAGGAAUCAGCCCCGGCUAACUACGUGCCAGCAGCCGCGGU